rnacentral:rRNA from 1 species
AUUGAACGCUGGCGGCAGGCCUAACACAUGCAAGUCGAGCGGAUGAAGGGAGCUUGCUCCUGGAUUCAGCGGCGGACGGGUGAGUAAUGCCUAGGAAUCUGCCUGGUAGUGGGGGAUAACGUCCGGAAACGGGCGCUAAUACCGCAUACGUCCUGAGGGAGAAAGUGGGGGAUCUUCGGACCUCACGCUAUAAGAUGAGCCUAGGUCGGAUUAGCUAGUUGGUGGGGUAAAGGCCUACCAAGGCGACGAUCCGUAACUGGUCUGAGAGGAUGAUCAGUCACACUGGAACUGAGACACGGUCCAGACUCCUACGGGAGGCAGCAGUGGGGAAUAUUGGACAAUGGGCGAAAGCCUGAUCCAGCCAUGCCGCGUGUGAAGAAGGUCUUCGGAUUGUAAAGCACUUUAAGUUGGGAGGAAGGGCAGUAAGUUAAUACCUUGCUGUUUUGACGUUACCAACAGAAUAAGCACCGGCUAACUUCGUG